GGGGUUGUAGCUCAGUUGGCUAGAGCGUCUGGUUUGCAUCCAGAAAGUCGUGAGUUCGAAUCUCACCUUCUCCA
rnacentral:tRNA from 1 species